rnacentral:rRNA from 1 species
UACGAAGGGGGCAAGCGUUGUUCGGAAUCAUUGGGCGUAAAGGGCGCGUAGGCGGGCUUGUAAGUCGAUUGUGAAAUCCCUGGGCUCAACCCGGGAAUGGCAGUCGAAACUGCAAGUCUUGAAUGCUCGAGAGGAUGGUGGAAUUCCUGGAGUAGUAGUGAAAUACGUAGAUAUCAGGAGGAACACCGGAGGCGAAGGCGGCCAUCUGGCGAGACAUUGACGCUGAGGCGCGAAAGCGUGGGGAGCAAACAGG